GACGUAGGGGGCGAGCGUUGUCCGGAUUUAUUGGGCGUAAAGGGUGCGUAGGCGGCGCGGUAAGUCGGGUGUGAAAUCUCGGAGCUUAACUCCGAAACUGCAUUCGAUACUGCCGUGCUUGAGGACUGGAGAGGAGACUGGAAUUUACGGUGUAGCGGUGAAAUGCGUAGAUAUCGUAAGGAAGACCAGUGGCGAAGGCGGGUCUCUGGACAGUUCCUGACGCUGAGGCACGAAGGUCAGGGGAGCAAACGGG
rnacentral:rRNA from 1 species